UCUGUCGCCAUAGAAAUUUUCAUCUAGACUGCUAGCAUUUGCACUAUAUUUGCUUAGCCGCCAAUACGCCGUGGCAUUUUUUAAUUUUUUGGGUUUGACU